UACGAAGGGGGCUAGCGUUGUUCGGAAUUACUGGGCGUAAAGCGCGCGCAGGCGGUUCUUUAAGUCAGGGGUGAAAGCCCAGAGCUCAACUCUGGAAUGGCCUUUGAGACUAGAGAACUAGGGUACGGGAGAGGUGAGUGGAAUUCCGAGUGUAGAGGUGAAAUUCGUAGAUAUUCGGAAGAACACCAGUGGCGAAGGCGGCUCACUGGCCCGUUACCGACGCUCAGGCGCGACAGCGUGGGGAGCAAACAGG
rnacentral:rRNA from 1 species